rnacentral:rRNA from 1 species
UACAGAGGGUGCAAGCGUUAAUCGGAAUUACUGGGCGUAAAGGGCGCGUAGGCGGCCUGUUAAGUCGAACGUGAAAUCCCUGGGCUCAACCCAGGAACUGCGUCCGAUACUGGCAGGCUUGAAUCCGGGAGAGGGAUGUGGAAUUCCAGGUGUAGCGGUGAAAUGCGUAGAUAUCUGGAGGAACACCGGUGGCGAAGGCGGCAUCCUGGACCGGUAUUGACGCCGAGGCGCGAAAGCCAGGGGAGCAAACGGG